GUAAGCAAUCUUGAACCAGUGAUUCUAACAGAGCCCCCAAAUUGACUGAAGAUCUUGAUCUUGAAUGUUGUUCAAGAAUUCCACACGUUCAAUGACAAGAAACAACACAAUGUUCUUCAAAAUAUCUGCAACUCUGCAACAAAGAAAUGUAUAUGACAAUCAAAGAAUGUACAUUUUUCUUAGAAUUAUUGAUUAAAACACUAAACUUACAAAUGAAUGAAUAAUUCUCCAUGAUCAUCAACAAUCAAAAUCAACAACAAUAGAAGAGAAACAAGAAAACCAAAAGGCCAAUCUUUGUUCUGCAAAAUUGAUCACAGAGUGAAAAACAAUGAACCCCAAAAUUGCAUUUUUCUUCGAAGCUGAAGAACGAAAAGAGAAAAUAUCCUGCAUAUAGUGUAUAAAAGAACAAACCACCCAACACAAGAUCGAUAAUAAAAUUACUCUAGCAAACUGCAUAACUACAACUAGAAGUCUAAAAAUGCAAACAUCAUCUUCACGUACUAUAAUACUACAUGAUAAAACAAAACAAUAAUUCCAACUUAAAUUGAUCAAAACAACUUAUGCAUUGAAGAAACAAGCCAAGUAUGCAAAGUACUCACAGGCCUGAUGGCCAAAAAUUCCUUUUCCAUUUGAAACUUUUGGUAAAUAGUUUCCUGAUAAUCUGAACUUUGACGAAUCAUCUCCAACUCACUUUCAUUCCAAAAUAUCUAUAAAAAAAAAAAUCACAAAUCACAAAUCACAUGAAAAUUUUUAUGAGUAACCAUAUAUAAUUAUUUGAACAAGUAAAAUGGUACAAUACAUUAUAAACAUGAACCAGAAAAAAAUCACUAAAACUUUAAAUGAAAUAAAAAUUAAAAACAUAAACAAAUCACAAUAAUUUUAAGAACAAAAGAAUAAUUUCAGAAUCAGUACCUACGUUUCAGUCAGAGAGAGAGAGGAAACGAGAGAGAGCUUCAAUUCGUGUAAUUUUGUUUCACUGAGUUUAGGAUUCUGCAAUUAGGGAUUGGAAUUUGCGUUUCAGCCUUGACGAGAGAGACGACAGAGAUGAGCGAGUAGGGUUCUAGAUCUUGAAGUUCGAGAGAGAUCGUGAGAGAUGAGGCUAGGGUUCGAGUUCGAAUUCGAGGAACGAGCUGAGAGAGCUAUGAUUCGUUUCACUGAGCUGAGAUUUGCGUUUAGUAAGCCUUCGAUUUGGGAUUGGAAUUUGUGAUUCAGUGAAAGGGAUAUUGGAGGCUAGGGUUCGAGAGAGAACAAGUGUGAGAGAGAGAGAGAACGAGUUCGAUCGAUUUGCUGAAACAGAGAAGAUUUGCUGAACGAUUCGAUCGAUUUGGUGAUAUUGAAGGCUAGAGUUCGUGAAAUUGAGAGCUAUGAUUCGAUCGUUUUGGUGCAGCUAAUGAGAGAAGUUA
rnacentral:lncRNA from 1 species